AGAGUUUGAUCCUGGCUCGGGAUGAACGCUAGCCACAGGCUUAACACAUGCAAGUCGAGGGGCAGCAUUUUAGUUUGCUUGCAAACUGAAGAUGGCGACCGGCGCACGGGUGAGUAACACGUAUCCAACCUGCCGAUAACUCCGGAAUAGCCUUUCGAAAGAAAGAUUAAUACCGGAUAGCAUACGAAUAUCGCAUGAUAUUUUUAUUAAAGAAUUUCGGUUAUCGAUGGGGAUGCGUUCCAUUAGUUUGUUGGCGGGG
rnacentral:rRNA from 1 species